rnacentral:sRNA from 1 species
GUCGGGCGGAGUGGAGCACGCCUGUAAUCCCAGCGGCUCGGGAGGCUGAGGCAGGAGGAUCGUUGAGUUCAAAGCCAGCCUCAGCAACAGCAAGGUGCUAAGCAACUCAGUGAGACCCUGUCUCUA